UGAGGAAUAUUGGUCAAUGGGCGCAAGCCUGAACCAGCCAAUCCGCGUGCAGGAAGACGGCCCUAUGGGUUGUAAACUGCUUUUAUACGGGAAUAAGGAUUCGUACUAGAUGCGGAUUUUGCAUGUACUGUAUGAAUAAGCAUCGGCUAACUCCGUGCCAGCAGCCGCGGUAAUACGGAGGAUGCAGGCGUUAUCCGGAUUUAUUAGGUUUAAAGGGUGCGUAGGCGGCUUGAUAAGUCAGGGGUGAAAUCUAACGGCUUAACCGUUAGUUUGCCUUUGAUACUGUUCUUCUUGAGUAUGGUCAAGGCAGGCGGAAUGUGUAAUGUAGCGGUGAAAUGCUUAGAUAUUACACAGAACACCGAUAGCGAAGGCAGCUUGCUGGGCCGUUACUGACGCUGAUGCACGAAAGCGUGGGGAUCGAACA
rnacentral:rRNA from 1 species